UACGAAGGGAGCUAGCGUUGUUCGGAAUUACUGGGCGUAAAGAGCGCGUAGGCGGUUUAUCAAGUUGGAAGUGAAAGCCCAGGGCUUAACCCUGGAACUGCUUUCAAAACUGGUAGACUAGAGUAUGGUAGAGGAUGGUGGAAUUCCUAGUGUAGAGGUGAAAUUCGUAGAUAUUAGGAGGAACACCGGUGGCGAAGGCGACCAUCUGGGCCAUUACUGACGCUGAGGCGCGAAAGCGUGGGGAGCAAACAGG
rnacentral:rRNA from 1 species